rnacentral:rRNA from 1 species
UCGCCCUUCCUACGGGAGGCAGCAGUGGGGAAUCUUGCACAAUGGAGGAAACUAUGAUGCAGCGAUGCCGCGUGAGUGAAGAAGGCCUUUGGGUUGUAAAGUUUUUUCGUCGGGGAAGAAAAUGACUGUACCCGAAUAAGAAGGUCCGGCUAACUUCGUGCCAGCAGCCGCGGUAAU